GACGAACGCUGGCGGCGUGCUUAACACAUGCAAGUCGAACGAUGAAGCCCAGCUUGCUGGGUGGAUUAGUGGCGAACGGGUGAGUAACACGUGAGUAACCUACCCUGGACUCUGGGAUAACCCCGAGAAAUCGGAGCUAAUACCGGAUAGGACCUUGGAUCGCAUGAUUCUUGGUGGAAAGUUUUUCGGUUUGGGAUGGACUCGCGGCCUAUCAGCUUGUUGGUGAGGUAAUGGCUCACCAAGGCGUCGACGGGUAGCCGGCCUGAGAGGGUGACCGGCCACACUGGGACUGAGACACGGCCCAGACUCCUACGGGAGGCAGCAGUGGGGAAUAUUGCACAAUGGGCGCAAGCCUGAUGCAGCAACGCCGCGUGCGGGAUGACGGCCUUCGGGUUGUAAACCGCUUUUAGUAAGGAAGAAGGGGCUUCGGCCUUGACGGUACUUGCAGAAAAAGGACCGGCUAACUACGUGCCAGCCGCCGCCGUAAAAC
rnacentral:rRNA from 1 species